UACGUAGGUGGCAAGCGUUGUCCGGAAUUAUUGGGCGUAAAGCGCGCGCAGGCGGUCCUUUAAGUCUGAUGUGAAAGCCCACGGCUCAACCGUGGAGGGUCAUUGGAAACUGGGGGACUUGAGUGCAGGAGAGAAGAGUGGAAUUCCACGUGUAGCGGUGAAAUGCGUAGAGAUGUGGAGGAACACCAGUGGCGAAGGCGACUCUUGGCUGUAACUGAC
rnacentral:rRNA from 1 species